AGUGAACGCUGGCGGUAGGCCUAACACAUGCAAGUCGAACGGCAGCACAGUAAGAGCUUGCUCUUACGGGUGGCGAGUGGCGGACGGGUGAGGAAUACAUCGGAAUCUACUUUUUCGUGGGGGAUAACGUAGGGAAACUUCCGCUAAUACCUCAUACGACCUACGGGUGAAAGCAGGGGAUCUUCGGACCUUGCGCGAUUGAAUGAGCCGAUGUCGGAUUAGCUAGUUGGCGGGGUAAAGGCCCACCAAGGCGACGAUCCGUAGCUGGUCUGAGAGGAUGUUCAGCCACACUGGAACUGAGACACGGUCCAGACUCCUACGGGAGGCAGCAGUGGGGAAUAUUGGACAAUGGGCGCAAGCCUGAUCCAGCCAUACCGCGUGGGUGAAGAAGGCCUUCGGGUUGUAAAGCCCUUUUGUUGGGAAAGAAAAGCAGCAGGUUAAUACACCGAUGUUCUGACGGUACCCAAAGAAUAAGCACCGGCUAACUUCGUG
rnacentral:rRNA from 1 species